CGCAGCCGCGGUAAUUCCAGCUCCAAUAGCGUAUAUUAAAGUUGUUGCAGUUAAAAAGCUCGUAGUUGAAUUUCGGGACCAGUAUGUUGGUCGUGCUUCGGUACGUACUGUCAUUACUGGUUUCCACCUUUUGAAGAACCUUGAUGUCAUUAAUUUGGUGUCUUGGGGAAUCAGGACUGUUACUUUGAAAAAAUUAGAGUGUUUAAAGCAAGCAUACGCUUGAAUACAUUAGCAUGGAAUAAUGAAAUAGGACGUUUGAUUCUAUUUUGUUGGUUUCUAGGAUCGACGUAAUGAUUAAUAGGGAUAGUUGGAGGCAUUAGUAUUCAAUUGUCAGAGGUGAAAUUCUUGGAUUUAUUGAAGACUAACUACUGCGAAAAGCAUUUUGCCAAGGAUGUUUUUCAUUAAUCAAGAACGAAAGUUAGGGGAUCGAAGACGAUCAGAUACCGUCGUAGUCUUAACCAUAAAACUAUGCCGACUAGGGAUCGGAUGAUGUUAUUUUUAAUGACUCAUUCGGCGCCUUACGG
rnacentral:rRNA from 1 species